UGUUAGUCAUACUAUUUACAUGUUGUGUUUUCCACAAUAACAUGAUUAAUUAGGUUCCAUCCUCAGCUUUAGCGUCUUCUUCCAAAGGUUCUAAUCGAUUAGUACCGUCAACAUGUACAUAUUAUACUAUUUUGUUCCCUCAUUGGAUACUAGUUUGUUCUUAUUUUUUGCAUAGGUGAAAUGUGAAGCCAAGCGUGAAGUCGUGAAGCCUAUAUGCAAAGAGUAGCAUAUCAUGUAUUGUAGUAGUAGAUUGUAGUAGGCAUAUUUGAGUUGUAGCAGUGUGAAGAUUGUAAUAGACUAAUUUAGUGUUUUUUUGGACGAAUUUUAUUUGUUCUGUGAUCUAUUCAAAAUAUUGAUUUCGUAUGUGAUUUGUAUACCUAUGAAAUGGAAACCUCACAAACUGUUUGACAAAUUACAAAAUUUAUGGUGUCGAUAUGAAUUAUGAGAUCAACAUGACAUGUGGGACCAAUGUGACUAGUGGGACCUGUACAAAAAUAAAAUGGCCAAAAAAGAAAAUCAAUAGAAAGUAAAAGGCCACAACCCAAAAUAAAAAUGCUAAAAUGUUUGGGAUUAUUGGGCCAGGC
rnacentral:lncRNA from 1 species